rnacentral:rRNA from 1 species
GAUGAACGCUGGCGGCGUGCCUAAUACAUGCAAGUCGAGCGAACGGACGAGAAGCUUGCGUCUCUGAUGUUAGCGGCGGAGGGGUGAGUAACACGUGGAUAACCUACCUAUAAGACGGGUAUAACUUCGGGAAACCGGAGCUAAUACCGUAUAAUAUUUUGAACCGCAGGGGGGAAAAGAGAAAUACGGUGUUGCGGGCAGGUAUAGCUGGAUCCCCGCUGCAUUGGGUAGUUGGUAAGUUAAAGGGUUACCAAGGCAAGGAGGCAUGACCGAGCGGUGAGGGGGAUAGGCUACCCUGGAACUGAGACACGGUCCAGACUCCUACGGGAGGCACCAGUAGCCAAUCUUCCGCAGAGGGCGAAAGCCUGACGGAGCAACGCCGAGUGAGUGAUGAAGGUCUUCCGAUCGUAAAACUCUGUUAUUAGGGAAGAACAUAUGUGUAAGUAACUGUGCACAUCUUGACGGUACCUAAUCAGAAAGCCACGGCUAACUACGUG